UGUUGGUGUGACUCCCCUUCUGUCCGGCAUUACGGCUGCAGUGUACUUGCCGCGUCAGCACACACGACGGCUGGAACUACAGUAUGGUCUUCCCAGUGGACCAGCACCACAUCCAUCUGGAUUGAGACGAGUAGGGGACAUCUCUAGGGUCUUCACAUAUUGAUACACACACCAUUGCAACUUAGAUCACCAUCACCACCACCAUCCCCUGCAUCAGACACCCUAAAUCGUGCCCUUCAUCAGACACCCUACAGUAAAUGCACCACAAACAACACAGGCAAAGAAGAAGAAAA